rnacentral:rRNA from 1 species
GGGGAGUGACGUCAAAUACAUCAUGCCCCUUACUGACCUGGGCUACACACGUGCUACAAUGGUUGGUACAACGAGUUGCGAGUCGGUGACGGCGAGCUAAUCUCUUAAAGCCAAUCUCAGUUCGGAUUGUAGGCUGCAACUCGCCUACAUGAAGUCGGAAUCGCUAGUAAUCGCGGAUCAGCACGCCGCGGUGAAUACGUUCCCGGGCCUU